GACGAACGCUGGCGGCGCGCCUAACACAUGCAAGUCGAACGAGCGAGAGAGAGCUUGCUUUCUCGAGCGAGUGGCGAACGGGUGAGUAACGCGUGAGGAACCUGCCUCAAAGAGGGGGACAACAGUUGGAAACGACUGCUAAUACCGCAUAAGCCCACAGCUCGGCAUCGAGCAGAGGGAAAAGGAGCAAUCCGCUUUGAGAUGGCCUCGCGUCCGAUUAGCUAGUUGGUGAGGUAAUGGCCCACCAAGGCGACGAUCGGUAGCCGGACUGAGAGGUUGAACGGCCACAUUGGGACUGAGACACGGCCCAGACUCCUACGGGAGGCAGCAGUGGGGAAUAUUGCACAAUGGGGGAAACCCUGAUGCAGCGACGCCGCGUGGAGGAAGAAGGUCUUCGGAUUGUAAACUCCUGUUGUUGGGGAAGAUAAUGACGGUACCCAACAAGGAAGUGACGGCUAACUACGUGCCAGCAGCCGCGGUAAAACGUAGGUCACAAGCGUUGUCCGGAAUUACUGGGUGUAAAGGGAGCGCAGGCGGGAAGACAAGUUAGAAGUGAAAUCUAUGGGCUCAACCCAUAAACUGCUUUCAAAACUGUUUUUCUUGAGUAGUGCAGAGGUAGGCGGAAUUCCCGGUGUAGCGGUGGAAUGCGUAGAUAUCGGGAGGAACACCAGUGGCGAAGGCGGCCUACUGGGCACCAACUGACGCUGAGGCUCGAAAGUGUGGGUAGCAAACAGGAUUAGAUACCCUGGUAGUCCACACCGUAAACGAUGAUUACUAGGUGUUGGAGGAUUGACCCCUUCAGUGCCGCAGUUAACACAAUAAGUAAUCCACCUGGGGAGUACGACCGCAAGGUUGAAACUCAAAGGAAUUGACGGGGGCCCGCACAAGCAGUGGAGUAUGUGGUUUAAUUCGACGCAACGCGAAGAACCUUACCAAGUCUUGACAUCCCUUGACGAUGCUGGAAACAGUAUUUCUCUUCGGAGCAAGGAGACAGGUGGUGCAUGGUUGUCGUCAGCUCGUGUCGUGAGAUGUUGGGUUAAGUCCCGCAACGAGCGCAACCCUUAUGGUCAGUUACUACGCAAGAGGACUUUGGCCAGACUGCCGUUGACAAAACGGAGGAAGGUGGGGAUGACGUCAAAUCAUCAUGCCCUUUAUGACUUGGGCUACACACGUACUACAAUGGCGUUAAACAAGGAGAAGCAAGACCGCGAGGUGGAGCAAAACUCAGAAACAACGUCCCAGUUCGGACUGCAGGCUGCAACUCGCCUGCACGAAGUCGGAAUUGCUAGUAAUCGUGGAUCAGCAUGCCACGGUGAAUACGUUCCCGGGCCUU
rnacentral:rRNA from 1 species